UACGUAGGGGGCAAGCGUUGUCCGGAUUUAUUGGGCGUAAAGGGCUCGUAGGCGGUCUGUUACGUCGGGAGUGAAAACUCGGGGCUCAACCCCGAGCUGCUUCCGAUACGGGCAGACUAGAGGUAUGCAGGGGGAGAAUGGAAUUCCUGGUGUAGCGGUGAAAUGCGCAGAUAUCAGGAGGAACACCGGUGGCGAAGGCGGUUCUCUGGGCAUUACCUGACGCUGAGGAGCGAAAGUGUGGGGGGGAGCGAACAGG
rnacentral:rRNA from 1 species